rnacentral:lncRNA from 1 species
AGCCGGUGAGCAUAAGCACAUCGGCAAGAGUGGGAGAAGCAGGGCCGUUGCCGAAGAUAAAGGCAUUGAGCGUAUCCGACCAAAAGUAAGAUGCAGCAAUCAGCAAUGACUCGUUCCUAUGCAUAUCGGCAAGAGACAACCUGAUGCAUUGGUCCAGUUUUCGUUCACCCCACUGAACCUCAUUAGAAUGGCUGACUCUCAAGAACCAAUCCUUCCAUCCUAUGGUAGGACUGGGCCAGGAACGAAAGGUGUCCUUCCACAGAUCUAGAGAAAAAUUCUCGGCUCUAAAGGGGAUUCUGUUUGUUUCUGCGUUGAUUAGAUCGGUGGGAUCUGGAUUCCCUAGCGGACCAAGACAUUGAAGGUGUGGUUGAUCGGUAGGGAUGGCAAUUUUAUUGGACAGAUCCUAAUGGUUUUAGGGUGAAAAAGAAAAAAAAACAAAAGGAAAAGAGGGAUGUUCAGUAAAAUAAAUGGCGGAUGAACAAGAGUAUGGUAAGAAUACAAAAGGUAGGGUGAUGAACUGACCUCGGGAACAGUGAAGUUGAUGGCCAUUUCCUCGUGAGGAGGAUGAUCGAGGGCUUUGAGGUUGGUGGAGAAAGGUCUUCGUCAGAGUUCUUGGGGCUCUCGAACAGCGCCGCCGCCAGAAAAGUAGAGUUGGGGCUGUAGAAUGAUGAGAUGGAGAAGGAGUACCCAAGAAGGAACUAUUUAUUGGACAAGACGGGC